AACGAACGCUGGCGGCAUGCCUAACACAUGCAAGUCGAACGAUUGCCUUCGGGUGAUAGUGGCGCACGGGUGCGUAACGCGUGGGAAUCUGCCCUUGGUUCGGGAUAAAAGCCGGAAACGGCUGCUAAUACCGGAAGGUUUUGCGGGGACAAAGAUUUAUCGCCUGAGGAUGAGCCCACGUUGGAUUAGGUAGUUGGUGGGGUAAAGGCCUACCAAGCCGACGAUCCAUAGCUGGUCUGAGAGGAUGAUCAGCCACACUGGGACUGAGACACGGCCCAGACUCCUACGGGAGGCAGCAGUGGGGAAUAUUGGACAAUGGGCGCAAGCCUGAUCCAGCAAUGCCGCGUGAGUGAUGAAGGCCCUAGGGUUGUAAAGCUCUUUUACCCGGGAAGAUAAUGACUGUACCGGGAGAAUAAGCCCCGGCUAACUCCGUG
rnacentral:rRNA from 1 species